AUUGAACGCUGGCGGCAGGCCUAACACAUGCAAGUCGAGCGAGCGACGGACGGGUGAGUAAUGCCUGGCAAUUGCCCAGUCGAGGGGGAUAACAGUAGGAAACGACUGCUAAUACCGCAUACGUUUGGAAUGCCCAGGUGGUAUUAGCUAGUUGGGGAGGUAAUGGCUCACCAAGGCGACGAUCCCUAGCCGGGCUGAGAGGAUGAUCAGCCACACUGGAACUGAGACACGGUCCAGACUCCUACGGGAGGCAGCAGUGGGGAAUAUUGCACAAUGGGGGAAACUCUGAUGCAGCCAUGCCGCGUGUGUGAAGAAGGCCUUCGGGUUGUAAAGCACUUUCAGCGAGGAGGCGUUACUCGCAGAAGAAGCACCGGCUAACUCCGUGCCAGCAGCCGCGGUAAUUC
rnacentral:rRNA from 1 species